AUUGAACGCUGGCGGCAUGCCUUACACAUGCAAGUCGAACGGUAACAGGUCUUCGGAUGCUGACGAGUGGCGAACGGGUGAGUAAUACAUCGGAACGUGCCCGAUCGUGGGGGAUAACGCAGCGAAAGCUGUGCUAAUACCGCAUACGAUCUACGGAUGAAAGCGGGGGAUCGCAAGACCUCGCGCGGACGGAGCGGCCGAUGGCAGAUUAGGUAGUUGGUGGGAUAAAAGCUUACCAAGCCGACGAUCUGUAGCUGGUCUGAGAGGACGACCAGCCACACUGGGACUGAGACACGGCCCAGACUCCUACGGGAGGCAGCAGUGGGGAAUUUUGGACAAUGGGCGCAAGCCUGAUCCAGCCAUGCCGCGUGCAGGAUGAAGGCCUUCGGGUUGUAAACUGCUUUUGUACGGAACGAAAAGACUCUCUCUAAUACAGGGGUGGAAUGACGGUACCGUAAGAAUAAAGCACCGGCUAACUAACGUCGCCAGACCG
rnacentral:rRNA from 1 species